rnacentral:rRNA from 1 species
UAGAGUUUGAUCAUGGCUCAGGACGAACGCUGGCGGCGUGCUUAACACAUGCAAGUCGAACGGAAAGGCCCUUCGGGGUACUCGAGUGGCGAACGGGUGAGUAACACGUGGGUGAUCUGCCCUGCACUCUGGGAUAAGCCUGGGAAACUGGGUCUAAUACCGGAUAGGACCACACACUUCAUGGUGAGUGGUGCAAAGCUUUUGCGGUGUGGGAUGAGCCCGCGGCCUAUCAGCUUGUUGGUGGGGUAAUGGCCCACCAAGGCGACGACGGGUAGCCGGCCUGAGAGGGUGACCGGCCACACUGGGACUGAGAUACGGCCCAGACUCCUACGGGAGGCAGCAGUGGGGAAUAUUGCACAAUGGGCGCAAGCCUGAUGCAGCGACGCCGCGUGAGGGAUGACGGCCUUCGGGUUGUAAACCUCUUUCAGUAGGGACGAAGCGAAAGUGACGGUACCUACAGAAGAAGGACCGGCCAACUACGUGCCAGCAGCCGCGGUAAUACGUAGGGUCCGAGCGUUGUCCGGAAUUACUGGGCGUAAAGAGCUCGUAGGUGGUUUGUCGCGUUGUUCGUGAAAACUCACAGCUUAACUGUGGGCGUGCGGGCGAUACGGGCAGACUAGAGUACUGCAGGGGAGACUGGAAUUCCUGGUGUAGCGGUGGAAUGCGCAGAUAUCAGGAGGAACACCGGUGGCGAAGGCGGGUCUCUGGGCAGUAACUGACGCUGAGGAGCGAAAGCGUGGGUAGCGAACAGGAUUAGAUACCCUGGUAGUCCACGCCGUAAACGGUGGGUACUAGGUGUGGGUUUCCUUCCUUGGGAUCCGUGCCGUAGCUAACGCAUUAAGUACCCCGCCUGGGGAGUACGGUCGCAA